CUGGACUGAGCCAUGCUACUGG
rnacentral:miRNA from 2 species